UACAGAGACUGCAAGCGUUGUUCGGAUUCACUGGGCGUAAAGGGUGCGCAGGUGGUUAAAUGUGUCGAAUGUGAAAGCUCGAGGCUCAACCUCGAAACUGCAUCCGAAACUAUUUGACUAGAGUGCUGGAGAGGGAAGUGGAAUUCACGGUGUAGCAGUGAAAUGCGUAGAUAUCGUGAGGAACACCAAUGGCGAAGGCAACUUCCUAGACAGCAACUGACACUCAGGCACGAAAGCGUGGGGAGCAAAAGGG
rnacentral:rRNA from 2 species